rnacentral:rRNA from 1 species
UACAGAGGUCUCAAGCGUUGUUCGGAUUCAUUGGGCGUAAAGGGUGCGUAGGCGGCGUCGUAAGUCGGGUGUGAAAUUUCGGAGCUUAACUCCGAAACUGCAUUCGAUACUGCGGUGCUUGAGGACUGGAGAGGAGACUGGAAUUCAUGGUGUAGCAGUGAAAUGCGUAGAGAUCAUGAGGAAGACCAGUGGCGAAGGCGGGUCUCUGGACAGUUCCUGACACUGAGGCACGAAGGCCAGGGGAGCAAACGGG